rnacentral:rRNA from 1 species
AGAUGAGGAGCUUGCUCUUCAAAUCGAGUGGCGAACGGGUGAGUAACGCGUGGGUAACCUGCCUCAUACAGGGGGAUAACAGUUGGAAACAGCUGCUAAUACCGCAUAAGACCACAGCACCGCAUGGUGCAGGGGUAAAAACUCCGGUGGUACGAGAUGGACCCGCGUCUGAUUAGCUGGUUGGUGAGGUAACGGCCCACCAAGGCGACGAUCAGUAGCCGACCUGAGAGGGUGACCGGCCACAUUGGGACUGAGACACGGCCCAAACUCC